AGUGAACGCUGGCGGUAGGCCUAACACAUGCCAGUCGAACGGCAGCACAGUAAGAGCUUGCUCUUACGGGUGGCGAGUGGCGGACGGGUGAGGAAUACAUCGGAAUCUACUUUUUCGUGGGGGAUAACGUAGGGAAACUUACGCUAAUACCGCAUACGACCUACGGGUGAAAGCAGGGGAGCUUCGGACCUUGCGCGAUUGAAUGAGCCGAUGUCGGAUUAGCUAGUUGGCGGGGUAAAGGCCCACCAAGGCGACGAUCCGUAGCUGGUCUGAGAGGAUGAUCAGCCACACUGGAACUGAGACACGGUCCAGACUCCUACGGGAGGCAGCAGUGGGGAAUAUUGGACAAUGGGCGCAAGCCUGAUCCAGCCAUACCGCGUGGGUGAAGAAGGCCUUCGGGUUGUAAAGCCCUUUUGUUGGGAAAGAAAAGCAGCAGGUUAAUACCCCGCUGUUCUGACGGUACCCAAAGAAUAAGCACCGGCUAACUUCGUG
rnacentral:rRNA from 1 species